rnacentral:rRNA from 1 species
GAUGAACGGCGGCGGGCAUGCCCUUACACAUGCAAGUCGAACGGUAAACGCGGGGGCAACCUGGCGACGAGUGGCGAACGGGUGAGUAAUACAUCGGAACGUGCCCAGUAGUGGGGGAUAGCCCGGCGAAAGCCGGAUUAAUACCGCAUACGACCUACGGGUGAAAGCGGGGGACUCGCAAGAGCCUCGCGCUAUUGGAGCGGCCGAUGUCAGAUUAGCUAGUUGGUGGGGUAAAAGCCUACCAAGGCGACGAUCUGUAGCUGGUCUGAGAGGACGACCAGCCACACUGGGACUGAGACACGGCCCAGACUCCUACGGGAGGCAGCAGUGGGGAAUUUUGGACAAUGGGCGCAAGCCUGAUCCAGCCAUGCCGCGUGCGGGAAGAAGGCCUUCGGGUUGUAAACCGCUUUUGUCAGGGAAGAAACGCUCUGGGCUAAUACCCCGGGGUAAUGACGGUACCUGAAGAAUAAGCACCGGCUAACUACGUG